UACGGAGGGUGCAAGCGUUAUCCGGAUUCACUGGGUUUAAAGGGUGCGUAGGCGGGCUUGUAAGUCAGUGGUGAAAGCCCGGAGCUUAACUUCGGAACUGCCAUUGAUACUGCAAGUCUUGAGUACACUUGAGGUGGGCGGAAUACAUCAUGUAGUGGUGAAAUACUUAGAUAUGAUGUAGAACACCGAUUGCGAAGGCAGCUCACUAAAUUGUAACUGACGCUGAGGCACGAAAGCGUGGGGAUCAAACAGG
rnacentral:rRNA from 1 species